rnacentral:lncRNA from 1 species
CAAAAGCCAUGCGCCUGUUGUUGCUGUUCACGGUACUUCCUUCGUUAGUAUCAGUGCCGGCUGAAAUCGACUAUGUGACAGACUAUGAUGAGUAUAGCUCUGAAGAAAACUUCACUACAACUACACAGACACCUGACACGCGAAUAACAAGGAGAGGUGGAAAAGCUGUUCCGAAGAUGGACUAUGUGGCUGAUAUAAAUAAGGCGUUCGCAACCCAUUUGAGACAAUAGUUUACCAGACCAAGGAUGACCUAUGUGCAGUUUUUUAUAUGAAUUUUCACCGUGACUUAAACGAUCCAGAAACAUGGAUAGAAGUAAGGGUUAGAAACUCCUCAUUGGAAAAAGGACCAGAUACCGAAUGUCUGGAUCGUUUCAACAGCUAUGCUUCCGGUCAAAAUGUAACUUAUAACUAUACAAUCGAAUGCCAGUGCUUAUUUCGCCAAAAAACAGAGUGAAAUGUCACAAAUGUAGAUAAUGUAAACAAGCUUGAACGUUUAGUAGGCAGUACGAUUAUUUUAAAGCAUCUGAGCAGUCUCUCUAAGUUUCUGACACGAAGUCAAAGUGUCUGCCAUGAUACUUAUUUCAUAUAGGUAUGAUGUUCAAUAAAUAUGAGCAAUAUAUUAC